GCCCGCGUAGCUCAACCGGACAGAGCGCCGGUCUCCUACACCGGACCAGUGCGGGUUCAAGUCCCGCCGCGGGCUCCA
rnacentral:tRNA from 1 species